rnacentral:rRNA from 1 species
GGAGUCUAGCAUGUGCGCGAGUCAUUGGGCUCUGUUUAAAACCUAAAGGCGAAAUGAAAGUGAAGGCGCGCGCAUAGCGUGCUUAGGGAAGACGGGGCGACCAACGUGUCGGCCCCGCACUCCCGGGGCGUCGCUUUCUUCCUUCGGGCGAGAUGCGGCGCACCCAGAGCGUACACGCUGGGACCCGAAAGAUGGUGAACUAUGCCUGAUCAGGACGAAGUCAGGGGAAACCCUGAUGGAGGUCCGUAGCGAUUCUGACGUGCAAAUCGAUCGUAAGAAUUGGGUAUAGGGGCGAAAGACUAAUCGAACCAUCUAGUAGCUGGUUCCCUCCGAAGUUUCCCUCAGGAUAGCUGGCUCUCGUUUUUACGAGUCUCAUCUGGUAAAGCGAAUGAUUAGAGGCAUUGGGGUCGAAACGGCCUCAACCUAUUCUCAAACUUUAAAUGGGUGGGAUCUCCGGCUUGCUUGAAUGUUGAAGCCGCGAGAUCGGAUCAGAGUGCCAAGUGGGCCAUUUUUGGUAAGCAGAACUGGCGCUGUGGGAUGAACCAAACGCCGAGUUAAAGCGCCUAAAUCGACGCUUAUGGGAUACCAUGAAAGGCGUUGGUAACUUAAGACAGCAGGACGGUGGCCAUGGAA